rnacentral:rRNA from 1 species
CCUACGGGAGGCAGCAGUGAGGAAUAUUGGUCAAUGGGCGCGAGCCUGAACCAGCCAAGUCGCGUGAGGGAAGACGGUCCUAUGGACUGUAAACCUCUUUUGUCGGGGAGCAAAAGACGCCACGUGUGGCGUUCCGAGAGUACCCGAAGAAAAAGCCUCGGCAAACUCUGUGUCAGCAGCCGCGGUAAUACGGAGGAUGCGAGCGUUAUCGGGAUUUAUUGGGUUUAAGGGGUGCGCAGGCGGAAGAUCAAGUCAGCGGUAAAAUUGAGGGGCUAAACCUCGUCGAGCCGUUGAAACUGGUUUUCUUGAGUGAGCGAGAGGUAUGCGGAAUGCGUGGUGUAGCGGUGAAAUGCAUAGAUAUCACGCAGAACUCCAAUUGCGAAGGCAGCAUACCGGCGCUCAACUGACGCUGAUGCACGAAAGUGUGGGUAUCGAACAGGAUUAGAUACCCUAGUAGUC